rnacentral:lncRNA from 1 species
UCCAAAUGCUGGUUCAUCAUCAAAAAACAAACUAAGAGUUACAACUCAAAUAUCUCGUAACAGAUAAGUCAGGAAGGCCAGGGAGAGACUCCGGGGGUUUGGAGAAAGCUCCAUGUACAAGCAGAAAACUCUGAGGAGUUGGAAAUUUUCAUGGACUUUGACCUGUGAGACUGCCGCCGGAUAGAAUCCUCCCGGGAGUAUUUCACGGAACCUGAGGUCCUCACCCGUACCUUGCUGGCACUCUGGACACUAUUCACGCCAAUCAUUUUCGAAGGCCACACACUGUUUGACAGCAAUUCAAAUUAUGUUGCCAUUCUGAAGAAUUAAAUGUUUCUUAUGACCUUAGACUACGACAGCCAGAUAUUUCAAGAGGAAUUAUGUCAGUGUGUACGGCAAAUCCAGAAUAAAGAUGUUCUGUUACCUCUCUAGGAGACUGAGAAAAUGACUGGGGGGUUAGCACAGGUUAACUUUCAAUAUGGCACAGAGUGAGAGCAAUAAAGCUAACUCCGGGCAACAAGCAGCAAGCAGCUUUUCCAAAAGCCAUCAAUGUUCUGUCAGUGUACACAGCAAUGUGCAAGCCUCUGAGUACGAAUCACAAACUGGAGAUUACUAGAAAACAAGACCAUUUUAGCUCCUAACAUAUGAAGUGAGUUUUGAGCAUACUACUCAGGAUUGCGAUGUCUCACUAUCUGGCAUCCCAGGGACAGAGGCUCAGCCACAUAAGCGUGUUCUCCAGAUAAAGGAGGCUUUCGUGUUAAUAUAAAUAACAAAACUUAAACAUUGUUUACAAAGACCACUCUGGGAAAAACGUCAGCCUCAAUCCAUCCCACCCC